rnacentral:rRNA from 1 species
UACAUGGGGGUGCAAACGUUGCUCGGAAUUAUUGGGCGUAAAGCGCGCGUAGGCGGUUACUCAAGUCGGAUGUGAAAGCCCUCGGCUUAACUGAGGAAGUGCACCCGAAACUGAGUAGCUAGAGUACCAAAGAGGGUCGCGGAAUUCCCGGUGUAGAGGUGAAAUUCGUAGAUAUCGGGAGGAACACCGGUGGCGAAGGCGGCGACCUGGGUGGAUACUGACGCUGAGGUGCGAAAAGCGUGGGGGAGCAAACAGG